rnacentral:rRNA from 1 species
CCAAUAGCGUAUAUUAAAGUUGUUGCAGUUAAAAAGCUCGUAGUUGAAUUUCGGGAUUGACACAUCGGUCGUGCCUUAAGGGGUAUGAACUGGUGUAGUCAAUUUCUCACCUUCUGGAGAACCGCGAUGCCCUUAAUUGGGUGUCGUGGGGAACCAGGACCUUUACUUUGAAAAAAUUAGAGUGUUUAAAGCAGGCAUUUUGCUUGAAUACAUUAGCAUG